GGGGGGGGAGCGGCCGCGGCGCGCGCACGUCUCUUGAAGACACCCUCGAUGAAUUCUACCCCGUUCACUCGCACUCCAUCGUUCAAACCGCGGUUCGGGACGGAGGGCGGCCGGAUAUCCAACGGAAAUAAGCAGCCUACCCGGGUCGCCGUUCGGCCGCGCCCGAUCGCCCUCGCGAUGGCAUCGGACCAUGGCGGGGGAGGCGCCGCCGCCGCCGAUGGCGGUAUCAACAACGCCGCGGGUCUCGGGCUUAGGGCGUCGCUGGAGGAGACCACUGCCGACGUCGCCUGCAAGGAUUCCCAGUCUCUGCCUCGGCCUCUAUCCAUAUCUGAUGUCUCUGGUUCGGUUAAUGGAUCGAGAUUUCGCGUUGCGUACCAGGGGCUCCCGGGUGCAUACAGUGAAGCUGCGGCAGCCAAGGCGUAUCCAAACUGUGAAGCGGUUCCAUGCGAGCAGUUUGAUACUGCCUUUGAUGCUGUUGAACAUUGGCUUGUUGAUCGGGCAGUUCUACCUAUUGAAAAUUCACUAGGUGGUAGCAUCCAUCGCAAUUAUGACCUUUUACUUCGCCAUAAUUUGCACAUUGUCGGGGAAGUAAAAUAUGCAGUUCGGCAUUGUUUGCUAGCUAAUCAUGGAGUGAAAAAGGAAGAUCUGAAAAGAGUUCUCAGCCAUCCUCAGGCCCUUGCACAGUGUGAGACUAUGCUUGCAAAAUUAGGGGUUGUCAGAGAAUCUGUAGAUGACACAGCGGGAGCUGCAAAUUUUAUUGCUACCCGCAAACUCCAAGAUGCAGGGGCUGUUGCCAGUUCAUUAGCCGCUGAAAUAUAUGGACUGGAUAUCCUUGCCCGAGAUAUUCAGGAUGACUCCGACAAUAUUACUAGAUUCCUGAUGCUAGCACGGGAACCCAUUAUUCCAGUAAUUGAUAGACCUUUUAAGACAAGCAUAGUUUUUUCUCUCGAAGAAGGCCCGGGUGUGCUUUUCAAGGCACUUGCUGUUUUUGCUUUGAGGGAUAUCAACCUUACAAAGAUUGAAAGUCGUCCCAGGAAGAAUAAGCCAUUACGCAUAACUGACGAUGGCAGCAAUGGACCUUUAAAGUAUUUCGACUAUCUCUUCUACGUAGAUUUUGAAGCAUCAAUGGCUUCACACAAUGCCCAAAAUGCCCUUAGGCACCUGAAGGAAUUUGCGACAUUCUUGAAAGUCUUGGGGAGUUAUCCUAGGGACAUGAGUGAGGCAUGACUUACCGUGUUCGGACGAUGGGCACUAUGAGUUUUGCUGUUGCGCAUUGUGAAGGUAUCUUCAAUCCUCCCAGCAGAAGAGAAAGAGGAUAGUCGAUAACAACUUUGUAUGCAGAAGAAAUCAAAAGGCGAAGAAGGUACAAAGAAAUCCUGAUCGAGAUGCUCCGGUCUGCAGGCCCAGCGUGUCAGAAGUGAAACGCCAAAGAGAAGAUACAAUGUAUCAGGGAGCCCUGUUCGCCACCGAAAUGGCACGAGAUCCUGAGCGGCGGCCGUGGCGUCGAGUUACUCGCCCAGGUGGUCUGCACUGCAGAGCAGCAACAAGAACACUACGGCCUGACGGUGCUGACACGCGGCCACGCAUGCCUCUUCGAUUUCUCUUGAUCCCUUUGGAAGACAUGAAGUUGGACAAAUCACUAUUCCCAAUUUACUGGCACUCGACACUCCAAAAAUUCUACGCAUGCCAUCCCGAACAUGAAACGCUCGAACAUGCCAUUAGGAGAGUCUACCUGCCAUGAAUCUUUUGUACGUAAUCAAUUUCAAUUAUCUAACAGUAUGAUCUUUUCGUGCAUGUAGGGGAUUGCAUACGUUUAUGGAAAAAGGUUGUUGUAUGGCUUAGGCAAAAACAAUCAAGUCUAUCAGUGAUCUUGCCAAAAAAAAAAUAAUUCAUCUUUA